rnacentral:tRNA from 1 species
GGAUAAGUGGUCGAGUGGUUUAAGGCGUUAGUUUUGAAAACUAUUGUAUUGUAUAAUACCGUGGGUUCGAAUCCUACCUUAUCUU